GCAAGUCGAGCGCGCCCUUCGGGGUGAGCGGCGGACGGGUGAGUAACGCGUGGGAAUAUACCCUUCUCUACGGAAUAGCCUCGGGAAACUGAGAGUAAUACCGUAUACGCCCUUCGGGGGAAAGAUUUAUCGGAGAUGGAUUGGCCCGCGUUAGAUUAGAUAGUUGGUGGGGUAAUGGCCUACCAAGCCGACGAUCCAUAGCUGGUUUGAGAGGAUGAUC
rnacentral:rRNA from 1 species